rnacentral:lncRNA from 1 species
UUUUAGCCAUAAGCAGAGAACCCAAUUAUUAGGGUCUCAACACAGCCGAUUUCGAUGCUUCCCUAACCCUCUGUUCGACCAUUUGACUACCACAUUCCACCAUUGAAACCGAUGGAAGAUAGCUCACCAUGAAGUCGUUUCAUUUUCCUACUUUAAACCCCGCCCCAAAAGGUAAGAUUUUUAGCCCGGAAACCUCUCUUAAGCUUCGAUCUCAACGAAGAAGAGAUGGUCUCCAAUGGCUCAUAUGCGCAGGUAGAUCCUUUCCUCUUUACUUUAUUUGCUUUCAAAGUAAAAUAAAAAAAAACAAGAGAAUAAUCACAAAGAAAGAAAGCCUGGAGAUUUAGAUCGAAAAAUCACCUUCCGAUAUUGGUUGCUUUUUUGUAUUGCUCGUAUAUCUUGCGUAAAAAUGUGUAGGCAUUCGUAACCCUUACAAGGAUCAAAAGCUUGGCUUUUUAUAGCCGAAGAAAAGAAAAAAAAGAAAAAAAAAUGAAAAACGCCCUUUUUCAAUUGCUGUUCUGCUAUUUUUGUUUGUGUUUGCUGCCGUGUGGUUUGUCCUUUUUGCAGGUAGAGUACGAAUGUGCGUUGGCCCUUGGCGUGAGGCGUACGGGGCUGUGUUAGCGUGGUUGCUGGAGACUGGGGCGUACGAAGGUGAUGUGGUUGCUGCUCGUGAAGGCUGCGGCGCGAGGACCCUUCUGCCUUAGGGUUUGCCGAAGUUUGGCUUGGUUUUUGGGCCGUUUGGGUCUUUUGUGUUUGUUUGGGCCGGGCAAAUUUGGCCUAGUACAGCUGCUCUUCUUUGCUCAUUAUCGUGGAAUGAGAAUAGUGCAAAGACUAUAAAUGGGCCAAUUUUGCCAGGGCCUGCUGAGCUUCGACUCCUUGGUGCUUCCUUUCUUCAGGUAGCUUCAAAAUGCUCCACUGCAACUUCAGGGAGAUAUGGUUCGUGUGUUUCUAUCUUGCUCUACUGCAACUUCAGAGAGAUAAGGAUUGUGACUUUGAUUUUGCUCCACUGCAACUUGAGGGAGACGAAAUCUUACAAUCUUCGGCCCGUUGCCCUACUAUUUAGGGGGUUAAGGCUCGUUUUCUCUGAUCUGCUCCAGUGGAGACGAGGUUUGCAAUCGUCAGCCUACUCCACUAUAACUUUAGGGAGCUAGAGUGAUGGCUUAAAUCUGCUUCACCGCAACUUUAGGAAGCCGAGAUUCGUCGUCUUCGAUUUGUUCUUUGUAAAUACAGAGACGCCAAAUCUGCUAUCUUCGAUCUGCUCUCCACCAAUACAGAGAUGCCAAAUCUGCUAUCUUCAAUCUGCUCUCUGCCAAUACAGAGAUGCCAAAUCUGCUAUCUUUGAUCUGCUCUCCACCAAUACAGAGAUGCCAAAUCUACGAUCUUCGAUCUGCUCUCCGCCAAUACAGAGAUGCCAAAUCUGCUAUUUUCGACCUGUUCACCGCUAAUACAGAGAUGCCAAAUCUGCAUUCUUCGAUCUGCUCUCCGCCAAUACAGAGAUGCCAAAUCUGUGACCUUCGAUCUGCUCUCCGCCAAUACAGAGAUGCCAAAUCUACUAUCUUCAAUCUGUUCUCCGCCAAUACAGAGAUGUCAAAUCUGCUAUCUUCGAUCUGCUCUCCGCCAAUACAGAGAUGCCAAAUCUACUAUCUUCGAUCUGCUCUCCGCCAAUACAGAGACGCCAAAUCUGCAGGAUUUACCAAUGUCGCCAUACUGUCUUCUAAAGACAUGACGUGUAAUAUGGGUUUCCUGUAUCUGUGUAUGUCAAAUAACUAGGAUGCUAUGAUCGAGAUGAAUCAAGUGUUCCUAACUAAAUGAAUGAUUAUGAAUGUAGAAACGUUAUGAGAGUGAUUUAUUUUUAAACGCUUAAGGCAUCAUUGCUCAUAACUCGUCCGGGUUCCAUCAUUGAUGUACUAUCGCGUCUUCUUACUUAGCCGUUAUCUCUAACAGAAAAUUUGUAGAAAUAGUCCUAAUUUGGAUUUCUCCUUUUCCAAUAUUUUCCAACUUUGAGCCUGGUUAGUCCUGACUAGUGGCCCUGUUUCAGGUCCUUGUACUAUUUAGAGACUUUUUUAGAGUAAUAUGCAUAACAUCCUUUGUGUGAAUAUUACAUGUUCAAAAAUUUCGAUUUCAAUAAAAAUGCUCGAAAAAGAUUAUCAUAAUGGACCAAUGGAAUUUUAUUAAGCAAAAUUUGAUGUGAAUAAAUAGGAUAACGAAUCUGGUGAGGUGUGAAAAAUGAGGAAAAGAUGCCCCAGAUAUCGCAGCACGAGUUUCACUAUUCUAGUUUCUUAGGGGUUCCUUCGAACCAAAUGUGUAUUCAAGAGAUCCUGCGCAUUUUGUUGAUGCUCCAAGGUGUAACGUUCUUCUGUCUUGUUGAUUUUGGAAGUACAAGACUACCAUAUGCCCCAUAUUCAAAAUUUGAGCUGCCCGUUUUCGGGUUUUCAACUCAAAAACCCCUUUGGUUCCAAAGUGCCCUUUGUGGAUUUUCACCUUGGCCUCUCCUUCUUCUUCUUCUUCUUCUUUUUUUUUCAGAGCGCCCUUUACGGGUUUUCACUCUGGCCUCUCUUUCUUCAGGUAAAAUACUUCUUGACCGAAUCCGAGUUUACAGGAUUGGGCAAGUUUCUACCGUCCAUCUCGGCUAGAAUCAAUGCUCCUCCAAAGAAAGCUUUCUUCACCACGUAAGGCCCUUUCCAAUUAGGCAUCCAUUUCCCUCGAAAGUCCUUCUGUAUGGGAAGGAUCUUUUUCAAAACCAAGUCUCCUUCGUGGAAUUCUCUAGGGUGAACCUUUUUGUCAUAAGCCCACAUCAUUCGCUUUUGGUACAUCUGACCAUGACGGAUAGCUCUUAACCUCUUUUCCUCAAUUAGGUUCAAUUGAUCAUAUCGAGACUGGAUCCACUCGGCUUCUUCUAACUUUAACUCUGACAACACUCGAAGAGACGGGAUCUCGACUUCGAUUGGCAACACUGCUUCCAUUCCGUAGACCAGGGAGAAAGGGGUUGCCCCGGUUGAAGUUCUGACUGACGUUCGAUAAGCAAAGAGGGCAAAUGGUAACUUCUCAUGCCAGUCUCUGUAGGUUUCGGUCAUCUUCCCCACAAUCUUCUUAAUGUUUUUAUUGGCCGCUUCCACUGCCCCAUUCAUCUUCGGGCGAUACGACAAAGAGUUGUGAUGUCUGAUCUUGAAUUGACUGCAGACUUCUGCUAUCGUACUAUUGUUCAAGUUUAAUGCAUUGUCAGAUAUAAUCCUCUCUGGCAUUCUAUAUCGACAUAUAAUCUCCUUUUUCAGAAACUUGCUCACUGUCGACUUGGUCACACUAGCAUACGAAGCGGCUUCUACCCACUUGGUGAAGUAGUCGAUUACCACAAAGAUGAACCGAUGCCUAUUGGAAGCUUUCAGCGAUAUCAGUCCAAUCACAUCCAUGCCCCACAUAGAGAAUGGCCAUGGAGAAACCAUGACAUGCAGCGGUGAAGGAGGCACAUGAAUUUUAUCCCCGUAGAUUUGGCAUUUAUGACAUCUCUUACCAUAAUUGAUACAGUCUCCUUCCAUGGUGGACCAAUAGUACCCGAAUCUCAUAAUUUGUCUGGCCAUUGUAAAGCCGUUAGCAUGUGUCCCACAGACGCCUUCAUGGACUUCUUCCAAGAUUUUCUUAGCCUCUACAGCAUCUACAUAUCUUAGUAACACUUGAUCAUUUCUUCUUUUGUAUAAUAUAUCCCCAUCUAAGACAUAGUCGAUGGCCAGUCUUCUUAGCGUUCUUUUGUCAUUCUCGCUCACCAGGUCCGGGUAUGCACGAUUCUUCACGUAUUGCAAUAUAUUGUGAUACCAAGGGCUAUCAUCUCUUUCUUCAACUUCUUCAAUAUUAUAACAGUGGGUCGAAAUUUCAUAAAUGCUCAUCCGGAUGGGUUUGACAUCUUCUUGUUUAUUUACCUUGAUCAUGGAGGCUAAAGUAGCCAAAGCAUCAGCCAUCUGAUUUUCGUCUCAUGGAAGGUAGUGGAAGGUGAUGUCAUCAAACUCUUUAACCAAUUCAAGGACUAAUUUUCGAUAGUCAAUCAACUUGGGGUCUCUGGUUUCCCAUUCUCCCUUGAGUUGAUAAAUCACUAGCGCGGAAUCCCCAUACACCUCUAGCACUCUAAUCUUACGUUCUAUGGCUGCGCGAAUACCCAUGAUGUACGCUUCAUAUUCCGCCAUAUUGUUUGUACAAUCAAAAUCCAAUUUACUAGUUAAUGGAUAAUGAUCUCCGUUUGGGGAUACCAAGACGGCCCCGAUUCCAUUGCCCACAGCAUUUGAUGCCCCAUCAAAGUUCAAUUUCCAAAGAAGUUUUUCCAGAGCACCUUCUUCAGCCGUAGCAAUACACACUAGGUCUUCAUUCGGAAAGUCAAAGUUCAAAGGCUCGUAGUCUGCUAUUGCACUUCCUUUUACUGCUUUCUGGUUCACAUAGACUAUGUCGAAUUCAGAAAGCAGAAUCUGCCAUCGGGCCAUCCUUCCAUUCAAGGCUGUUGACUCCAUCAUGUACUUUAAAGGGUCCAAUUUUGAUAUGAGCCAAGUGGUGUGAUACAACAUAUACUGCCUCAGCCUUCGGGUUGUCCAAAUUAGGGCACAACACAACUUCUCUAUCGGCGGGUACCUUGUCUCACAUUCUGUGAACUUUUUACUAAGAUAAUAAAUGGCUUUUUCUUUCCUUCCCGACUCGUCAUGCUGACCUAAUACGCAUCCCAUAGAAUUCUCAAAUACUGCCAAGUACAGUAUCAACGGCUUAUCGAAAUUAGUGGCAUCAGCACCGGGGCAUUGGAUAAGUACUGUUUGACCUUAUCAAAAGCCCUUUGGCAUUCUUCAUCCCAUUUACCUGGGUUACGUUUCUUGAGGAGGCGAAAGACAGGGUCACAUUUCUCGGUCAGUUGUGAAAUGAACCGAGCAAUGUAAUUUAAUCUUCCUAGAAAGCCUCGAACUUCUUUCUGAGUGCGCGGCGGGGAUAGCUCUUAUAUGGCUUUAACUUUGUCUGGAUCGAUCUCAAUCCCUUUCUUACUAACCACGAAUCUGAGCAACUUUCCAGACUUAGCUCCGAAGGUACAUUUGGCUGGGUUGAGUUUUAGCUGGAACUUCCUCAACCUCAAGAAUAGUUUUCUCAAGACUUGUAUGUGCUCCUUCUCUGUUCGGGACUUAGCUAUCAUGUCAUCAACAUAGACCUCGAUUUCUUUAUGCAUCAUGUCGUGAAAAAGGGUUACCAUGACUCUUUGAUAAGUUGCCCCCGUAUUCUUUAGUCCAAACGGCAUCACCUUGUAACAGAAUGUGCCCCACAUGGUUACAAACGUGGUUUUCUCCAUAUCUUCAGGGUGCAUCUUGAUCUGGUUGUAUAUCGAGAAACCAUCCAUGAACGAAAACAGUGAAUGUCCCGCUGUAUUGUCCACUAGGGUGUCGAUAUGAGGUAAUGGGAAAUUGUCUUUUGGGCUGGCUUUAUUCAACUCUCUGUAGUCCACACACAUUCGUACUUUUCCAUCUUUCUUAGGGACAUAGACGAUGUUGGCUACCCAAUCUGAGUAUUUUACCACCUUCAGAAAUCCAUCGUCAAACUGCUUUCGGACCUCUUCCUUUAUUUUUAGCAAGACAUCGGGCCUCAUUCUUCGGAGUUUUUGCUGAACUGGCUUACACUCUUCUUUUAUGGGGAGUUGAUGCACCACGAUGUCAGUGUCCAACCCGGGCAUAUCUUGGUAUGACCAUGCGAAGACAUCUUUGAAUUCUUGAAGUAAUCCAAUGAGGUCUCGUUUCAUCUCCGUAGUGAUACAUGUUCCGAUCUUCACCUCCUGUCCUUCUCCUAAACUCACAAUUUCAACUAAUUCUUUGUGAGGUAGGAUUUGUUUCUCGUCUUGUUCUACCAUCUUCAGCAAAUCAGGAGAUAAGUUACAGCCUUGGUCAUCUUCAAAAUCUUGAGAAUUAUCCAUACACACAUCUUGCUCGAAAGGAAAUUCUGAGUCACUAGCAGUGUCACUCGUAUCAUUAAUAUCUGAGGACCUGUUAUGAGGACGAAGGCAGAUACAAAGAAUCAAAAGAAUUAGAAACGUUUAUUUGCAUGAUAUGAUUAUGGAUGACAAAUGAAAGAGUAUGUAAAAGAAUGUUUCAAGAAUAAAAGAAUUUGAAAGUAAUCAUUAGUAUGGUUAUAAAUGAAAUUGAAAGGACGAGAUGACAUCUGCUCAAAAAUGAUAAUAACCGUGCAUUUUAUUGAAAUAUCGUUUUUAAACAUUAGCCUAUUUCACAAAAGAUUCUUAUCACUCCUAGGCCUAGAGCAAUAAGUGUGUUUUGGACAUUACUCUAUAUUCGUUCUAAAAACUACAGGGAUCUCUUCCGCAGUCCAGUUGUCCAGAACACUUCCAGGUGUGUAAGGGCCAAUGUCCGAUAAACUUUCUCUUCUGGUCUCUUCUUCGUACAUGACGUUGAUGUCCAAACUUUCCAGGCUUUUUUCUAUAGCUCCCAUCAUUGAUGUGUCUCUUUCGGGAUGGAUGAUUCCCCCGGACACAAAUGUUUUCGAUAUAUAGGGAAUAUCAUUGGUUCCCACUUGAUUUCUUUCCCCGUUAAUCUAGCUCUCAUUCUUUCCUGCUUCUUUUCCAGCUCCCUUCUCCUUUGUUUCGCGUCUGGCUUAAAUCCUAAGCCGAAGCGGUCUCUCUUGUCUUUCAGCAUUGGCGUUUCAGUUCUUCCUUGUAGAUGUCUCCCAAGUCUUUUUUCGGGUAGGGCCCCUUUUCCAAAUGUCAGUUGGAGGCUCAUCCUCGUGGUUUUAGACAAUUUCGACACCGAAAUUUUGCUUCCCUCGGCGAUGAACGUCGCGUUAACAAAUUUUAAAGAUUGAAAUGAGCAUUCGAUUGCUUCAUCAUCUGUCUCCAAAUAGGGUGCAUUAUUGCUCACAGUUGCAAUAAUAUCUUCUUCAACCUUAAUCGUUAUCAACCUUCUCUCCGACACCAGCUUCAAUUUUUGAUGCAACGAGGAAGGCACCGCCCCAGCUGAAUGUAUCCAGGGCCUCCCCAAUAAGCAAUUAUAUGAGGGUUUGAUGUCCAUUACAAGGAAAUCCACCUCAUAUGUGUUUGGCCUAAUCUGAAGGGGUACCUCGAUUCUGCCCAUCACCUUUCUCUCCGUACCAUUGAAUGCCUUCACGAUGUUCUGGCACUCCUUCAUGUGAGAGCUGUCUAUAGGUAAUCUGUUCAGCGUGGUCAAUGGCAGGACGUUCAGGGCGGAUCCAUUGUCAAUUAGUACGCCUGGCAGCGUAUACCCUUUACAGCGUGUGGUGAUAUGCAGAGCUUUAGUCGACCCCAUGCCCCUGGGUGGUAUCUAAUCGUCAUUAAAGAAGAUAUAGUUAUCGACACUGAUCUUGUUAACCAAGCGGUCCAACUUGUUAACGGAGAUAUCAUUGGGAACAUACGUUUCAUUCAAGACCUUCAUUAGCGUGCUGCGAUGGACUUCCGAGCUCAGAAGCAAAGCCAGCACUGAAAUGCGGGCUGGUUGUUUGCGUAGCUGUUCCACCACACUGUAUUCGCUAUGCUUUAGGAAUUUUAAAAACUCCUUGGCCUCUUCUUCGUUAACUGGCUCGUUAACAAGUUUGGUUGCUUUUCCUUUCAUUUUCUCGACCAUCUGGGGUUUUCCUUUUGUGGGUUGUGCCUCCUCAUUCGUCGUAUCGUAACGUCUCCCACUACGUGUAUAGGAUCCCUUGUCCUGAUCCCCUCUUGAAGCGUCAAUUGGGCUCUCCUUUCCCGGCAUCAUCACACUGCAAUCAUAAUUCCAUGGGACAUUUUUGCUAUCUUUGUAAGAGAAGACUGCAGGUCUUUAGAUUAUGACUCUCGGUGGCAUUUGUACUCCAACUUUAUUAUUUUUGGGUCUCGAAAUGAUCACCACAAGAUAGUUAGGUGUUCGAUUUUGUGCCAUCGAUUCUCCCUCUGAUGCGCAUAUAUCUCCCACUACGGGGUUUUUGGCUUUUUCAUAAAAUUCUAUUUCUUUAUUGUUCAUCAUGUUUUGUAUUAGGACCUUGAACUCCACGCAAUCUUGGAUUUCAUGCCCCACUUCGUCGUGAAACUCACAGUAGUUUCUGUCUUCUUCAGGUUCUUCCCUCGAAUCCAACGCGAUCAAUCCUUUCUUGACCAUCUCCAUCCAUACUCGCCUCAACGGAGUCCUGACUUCAGCAACCUCAUACUUGGUCUUCUUGUUCAAGCCUUCACAUAUCACAUUCACUCCUUGGUCGGUAUGAUUGGUGAGCGGGUUUCCUACUAUAUUGGAUGUGGCUGGGUCAUCAAAUCUCACGAUCCCCAUCUUAAUGAGUCUUUUAACUAAUUUUUUAAAUGCUGCGUAGUUUUUGAUAGAGUGCCCAAUAAUUCCCGCGUGGUACUCACAUCGGGCGUUCGUGUCAUACCAUUUGGGAUACGGGAGCUGCAGUGGCUUCAGGUAGAAAGGGGAGACCACAUGAGCGUUGAACAGGUUCUGGUACAACUCCCUAUACGUCAUGGGUAUAGGGGUGAAUUGUGGUCUUUCUAUAUUCUCCCUUGCGUUGGAUUCUUGUCUUACAGAGCUUUGCUGAUUAGUGGUCACCGCCUUGGGUUGAUUUACGGUGAAUGACUUAGGCUGACCUUUGCUAGAUGUGCUCGUGUUGUUCACUUCAUUGUCUUUUUUCCUCGGGACUAACUUUCUGGUACUUUCUCUGGCUUCUAUCUUGCUGCUCCUUAUAGCAUUUUCGAUCAUUUCUCCCGUCAUUACUAUAUCAGAGAAGCUCUUGGUGGCGCUUCCCAACAUAUGAGUGAUAAAAUGAGCCUUCAAGGUAUUAAUAAAGAGCAUCGUUGUCUCCUUUUCUAGAAGUGAUGGUUGAACUUGUAUGGCCACCUCCCUCCAUCUUUGCGCGUACUGCCUGAAGCUUUUAUUCGAUUUCUUCUCCAUAUUCUGAAGAGUGAUUCUGUCAGGGGUCAUGUCUGUCACAUGAUUGUAUUGCUUCAUAAAGGCCUGGGACAGGUCCUUCCACGAGUUAAUCUUAGAGCGACUCAAUUGGUUGUACCACUUAGACGCCGCCUCGACCAGACUAUCUUGAGAGCAAUGGAUUAAUAACUGAUCGUUGUUAACAUAUCCCAUCAUUCGCCUGCAGAACAUAGUGAUGUGGGCUUCAGGGCAGCUCAUUCCAUUGUAUUUCUCAAAUUCGGGCAUUUUGAAUUUGGGGGGAAGGACUAAAUCUGGGACCAAACUCAGGUCCUUGGCAUCAAUCCCUUGAUGAUGAUCCACGCUUUCCAUGGCUUUGAAUUUUUCCUCGAGCCAUCUGUAUCAUUCUUCCAAUUGUUUUUACGAAUCCAUCCUCGCCUUUUCCUCUUCGGCAAUUUCAUCCAAGUCGGGAACGGGCGGAUAGUUCGGGUUGUUGACAAAGUUAGAGCUUGAGCCGGUUUGGAAAUUUAUCGGUACCGAAGCUCCGGCCUGAACCUGCUGGGGCAUGAUCGUGACAGAUGGUUUCGGUAAAUUAAUCUCGGGCUUUAUCGGUACAUGCGUCGGAGUGAAGCCAGGGGGUAUUGAGGAUCCUCGUUAGUUUUUUCAACUUUGUCCAUAGGACCCUUUCCCUUAUCCGUUCCUCCCAACAGUAGCUGGGAUAACUGACUCAUCAUUUCCCUCUGGGACUCCAUCAUUUGCUCUUUCAUCUCUCGCUGAAUCUUGGCUAGUUGCUCUUGCAUCUGAGACUGCAUUUGUUCUUGUAUUUCUUUUUGCAUCUGCUCUAAUUUCUCGAGUCUCUUAUCCAUUGAUUUUUUUCUUGUACCGUAGGGGUGUGUGGUUGGUUGGUUUUCGUUGGUUUCCAGGUUACUGAAAUAAUUUUUAAUUAAUUAAUUAGAAAACUCUUAUGGCCUUUAAUGCAUAAUGAUAUGAUGCAAAUGCAAAUGCAUGAAUGCAAAGGAGGCAUCAAUUUUUUGAUUCAAUUGCCCUUAGAAAGUUUUACUUGAAAAUAAAAUCUUUUACAUAAAGUCGAGUUACAAAUAAAAUUUCACUCUAACACUUAAAGUCUUAAUUUUUUUAAGCAACGAGGCCAUCUUUUGUCCGCGAUCUGAUUCCAACUCAUAUUUCACGCUCAGUGUGUCCGCCUGAACCGCUAAAGUCUGCAAGUAGUCGGCUACCUCCCGAAUCUGGGUUAUGGCUUCCCCCAUAAGAUAAUCUCUGUUUCUGACUUGGUCUUGCACAUGGUGAAGCUGCUCUUUCCAACGAUCCUCGUUUGCCUCGAAAAACUAGAUCUGCAUCUCACAGUUCUGUAGUGAUGCCUCUAACUCUCCUAUUCUUCGUUUCAUUUCUUCUAUCUUGCUCAAACUUGCCCUUAGCUCUAUUGCGGUGUUACGAUUUCGGUACUGAUGUAGAGAUUUCUCGAGUUCUGUUACUCUAGCCCUUAAUUCACCUCGCUCUUUUCUACUUUCCGACAGACUCUUCUCCAAAUCUUCGUUUCAUGCUUGAACUUCUCGGAAUUUCCUUUCCCACCGGUCGGUAUUGGCCUUUUCUUCCCGAAUUUCAUGGCGCCAUUAUUCGAAAGUCUUACCUAAGCCCGCAGUCCUCAUAGAUAGGCGUAGCUUCUUGUAGUCCGUCUUCAGGCUGUCUAGGUCUUCUUCGGCCUUGGUUUUUUCUUUUCUCCACUUCUCAGCCUUUGACCUCUGAACAUCAGCGUCUAACCUUAAGUGCAUCUUUUCUUCUUCCAAUUGCUCGAUCUUCUUCCCAAGCUCCAAACUCUUUUUCUCGAAAUCUUACUUUAUAAUUUCCAAUUCUGAUGGGGCGACUUGUAAUUGUUCCCCGAUAGGUCGAGCACUCUCUAAGUUUGGCCUAGGAAUAUUGUCAUUAAUCCUCUUCUUAAACCACUCGCUGUACUCGGGCGUUACCAUGGAACCAACGGCUAACCUUUUCAUCCAACAAGUUUGCUUUCAAGCAUCCGAUAACUCCCGAACUCUCUUUUUAUAAUGAGCACCCUUAAAAGAGAAUUCACUCUGAGCAAGUCCGUAGGUCAUGGGUACAAACUGCCUCGACUUAUAUUGCCUCAAGGUUAUCAACGGAGUAUACCCGGUAGCUCCCCAGAUUCCUAACAGUGGCACCCAAUCGAAGUUACCACAUCGGUACAAGAUCUUGUCAGGGACCAUCCAAUAAGCUCUCCAUUCAAUAUCCCCCUCCUUGAAGUUUUGAAAAAUAUCUAUCCAUUUCCCCUCUGAGAUAUCCUCUCUCCUCUGUAUAGCUGCUUCUUCCUUCAAAGGGGAAUAACCUUCGGAAAAGACUCGGUAGGAAUCCUUGUCUACCUUCCAAAAGUGCCCAUGAAACCAUACCAUCAAUAGUUGAGCACAUCUAAUAAAUCGCCCCUCGCCCGUCUUCCGAUAUGAGCUCAAAGAUCUGAAAGUUUCUGCCAAUAUCGCUGGUACUGGAGUGAUUCCUUUCUCAAGGCGAUCGAACAAGUCGAUGAUCGCCUCGUCCACGUGCCUCAAAGCCUUAGGAAAGAUCACUAAUCCGUAGAUGCUUAAGGCAAAUAUAUCGACCCUCUUUCUUUCGUCUGGAUGAGUCAAGAUCAAAUCUCGCAAAUUAUCUCAAGAGACAUAUUUGCUAUCUCCUUUUUUGCUGAAUCCGAGCGAUGACCCAAGGCUCGCUCAUCCCAGAAAUGCUCACCAGUUUCUUCACGAAAGCUUGACUACUAAAAACCCGGGCAUAAGUCUUCCGGACCUGAAUCUUUGGACACCUAAGCAGCGUAGUGUAUUCUUCUAUAGUAGGUACCAAAUCCACUUCUCCAAAGGUGAAACACUUAUAUGCGGAAUUCCAAAACUGCACCAAGGCUCGGAACAAAUGCUUAUCCACUCUAAUGUCUAACAGGUAGGAUAUAUCACCAUAACUUUGGUAAAACAACUGCUUGAUCCUUUCAUCCCAACUAGCCCAAAUGUCUCUCAACUCUUGCAGCUCAUUCUAUAUUACAUUGACGCGAGUGAAAUCCCGUAGCUCCGAUACAUGCCCUUCUGCUAAGCUAUCCCCUCUCUCAGAUUGUAGCAUUUCCGACCAAGCACGAACGGCCGCAUUAUCCUCGACUUUACUAAGAAAUUCAUUCUCCAUGUCAAAUUUUCUAACUUAGUAAUUGAAUGUAGAUUAACGCCUCCUUUAGUAUGCAAUGUCAUGCAAAAAAGACAAUCAAAACAAAACAUCAGUUAGUAUCAAAUAAUAGCGAUAGAAUGCAAGCACAUAAACGGUGAUUAUAACGCAUAUACAGGUAAGUACUAAGGCUCGACGCGGCUCCACCCAAGGAUAGCUCCUAAGGUUCACUAUAUGUGGUUUAGUUCUAGGAAAAGAGGUACCCGAACCAGCAGAUUCCUCAAUCCUCACCCAUUAUAGGCUCAUAUAGAUCGAGUUCGGUUCGGGGGGAUACAUUUCCCUAUGACCAUGCGGAGAUGAAAAUCUCACGAAAUCAUAGGUACGGAUGUACCCCGGAAGCAAUCCACUAGCCAAUGCGGAGGUGAAAACCUCACGAAAGCGUAGUUUCUUACUCCCACUUAGAAGGUGUGACCACGGUGGUCAUGCAAUAAAAUGUAAUACUAUUAUACAAGACCCGCACCAAAACAAUCAUGCAAUCGAAAGAUACAUGAUUUUUAAAAUACAUUUUUGGUUUUUGACAAAAUGACAGUAAAUAAUCGAUUUUCAUGGCUCGACUCUCAAGUUCAAUCCCCAGUGGAGUCGCCAAGCUGUCAAAACCAUCCCUCGAUUUAAAAAAUUUUUAUUUUAAUGAGAAAUGGUGAAGUCGAGUUUUUGGGAAAUAGAAAUAUGGAGUCGCCAUCGAUCUUUUGUUUUGGUGUGAUCGGGUCACCUAAGGAUUUGGUUAUUUUAAUAAAAUGUUUUGGUUUACUAGAAUAACGAUUUUGGUCUACGAAAAUAUGAGAAAAUGGGCUCGGGAGUCGGUUACGUAUGAGGAAGGAUUAGCACCCUCACUACGCUCAAAAUUGGUACCAAAUCGAUUAAAUACUGUCCUUAGGUCUAAGAUAAAAAUGUUUUGGAAAUGUGGUUCUUUUCUAAUAACGUUCGAGUGAUCCGAGUUGAUUGUCAAAAAUCUUCUUGUUUCGAUGACCGAAAAUUUAUAAUUUGAAAAUCACAAAAGGAUGCUCAACUAUUUAGUCCAACAAAAAAUCGAAACUCAGCACAGUAGGGUACGAUUCCUCGAAUUUCAAACAUUGACCAUUGCCUCCCCUUAUAAAAUACGUGUAAAAUUCCGAGGAGAUAUUCGAUUAUUUUAGACAAAUGAAAAAGCGCAACCCAGCACGAUAGGGCACGAUUCUCAAAUCGCCAAACGUUGAACAUCGUCUUCGUUUUUAAGAAUGUUUUCUAAAAGCGAGUGAAAACCUAAAGGAAUAUUCGAUUGUUUUGACUAAACGAGAAAUCACAACCCAGCACGAUAGGGCAUGAUUCCCGAAUCGUCAAACACCGAGUAUUGCCUCCGUUUUAAAGGAUUUUUAGAAGAGCCGAGUGAAAUUUUGAAGGGAUAUUUGAUUAUUUUAAACAAUCGGGAAAUUGCUACCCAACACGUUAAGGCACGAUCCCGCGAAUUGCCAAAUAUCACAUAUCGCCUUCGUUUUAGAGAUUUUAAAAGACAUGAGCAAAAUUUUAAAGUGAUAUUCGAUUAUUUUGAACAAAUGCGAAAUUGCAACCCAACACGUUAGGGCACGAUUCCGCGAAUGGCCAAACAUCAAAUCUCAUCUUUAUUUAAGGGAUUUUAAAAGAUAUGAAUGAAAUUUCGAAGGGAAAUUCGAUUAUUUUGAGCAAAUACGAAAUUGCAACCCAACACGUUAGGGCACGACUCCGUGAAUCGCCGAACAUCAAAUUUCGUCUUCAUUUUGAAGAAUUUUUGGAUGAAUAUUUAAAAAUAUAUUAAUUCGAUUUGAAAUAAGAUGACAUUAAUCGUAGAAAUUGGAUUUUAUAAAACCACAUUUCGAAAAACCAAAUGAAAACGAUGAGAUAGGAUAAUAGGCGCAUAUGAGAUACCAUACUUGAUGAAUGAGAAUAUCGAUCAACCAAGAAAAUGAGCAAUUAAGUAUAAUUAGCUUGAAAAUAUGACUCAACCUCAAUUAUGCAUGGAGAACAAUUAAUCAUGGCAAUAAUGAAUAAAAUGCAACGACGGCAUACAUGACAUAAUAAAAUUAUUAGAGGCAUAAAAUAGAAUGCAAUUCAAAGAAGCAACAUGGUAUAAGAUUAUUGUAAAAUAAUGUCAAGCUUAAUAGACACAUGCAAUCAUUAAAAUAUAUAUAUCGUAGAAUGAAUAUUUUAAAACACAUAAUGUAUGAAUUGACAGAUUUACAUAAAAAUAAGAAUAUAUAUAAUUAUUGAAAUAGAUAUUAGAAAAUGAAAAUUUGAAUUAAAUUGAAUGUAAAAUGAUUUCAGCACAAAUUUAUUUAAAGAGUUGACAAAAGUAUGCGAUAAUUUAAAAUAUAUACAAUACAAAAGAAUAGUGGAGAUAUAUGACAAGACAUAAUGCACAAAAUAAAUUUAUAAAACAUGUGUAUACGCAAGUUUAUUGUAAAAAAAACAUGAGAUUAAUAAUAAGAUAUAUACAUAUACAUGCAUAUAAAUCUAAAGGCAAAUACAUGCAAAAACAUUUAUAUAUUAUGUAUAGGGCUAAAUUAAUUUUAUUAUAAACUACAUAAUAGUUUUACGAACGUGCUCAUAUAUAUAUAUAUAAAGAAAACUACGGGUAUAAAUACAUAGAUUUAGUAACAUAUAUAUAUAAAUAGAUUAAGCAUAGGUGUUAAUAAAAAAACAUAUAUAUACACCAUAAUAAUUUAAAAACCAUGUUAUAAGAGAUUAUAUAAUAAAAGACGAGAAUAUAUUUAAAAGAAACUAUAUGUAUAGAAUAAUGUAAGAUUAAUAGCAUGCGAAAAAUAAAAGUAACCUUAUUAUAAAGUGUAUAUAUAUAGGAGUUUAAACAAACAAAUUUAAAAGAAAAUAGAUAGAUGUAUAUAUGUAUAUAUACAUAUAUAUAGUUAUAUGUAUAGAUGUAUUUACAUAUAAAUAAAAGUACGAAUAACAAACCAUGCAAAACUUGAUAAAAUAUUCCAAAAUAAUAUAUUAAAUGGUGAAUAAUAAGUAAGUCUCAAAAAUAGAAGGGUUUCAAAGAAUAAAAAUGCUGAAAAUAACAAAAAAAACUCAAUUGAAACAAAAAUGAGACUAAAAGGAUCAUUAAUAAAUAAAAUCAGUUGCUGAAAUUAGGAAAAGGACUAAGUUUUGACACGCGCGCGAAUGCAAUGGACUAAAACUGGCAAUAUACCAGAACCCAAAAUGAUGCGUUUAGGCGCGGAUCAGAUUGCAACAAAGCACAAAUUAUAAGCCUAAAUAAUAAUAAAAAAAGCAAGGCGCAUAAGGCGCAAUCGAAGGCUCGCGCGAAUACAGAGGACCCAUCGCGCAAAUUUCCCAUUCCGAAUGAAAAGGUGCGGAUCCGGGUUGCUAUCCGGGUUGACGUGCGGACCUUCAAUAUCCCAAACGGCGCCGUUUCGUCUAAUUCCUAAAAUUAAAGGCCAUUGAAUGGCAGCUUACUGUCCCUUUUAGCCAUAAGCAGAGAACCCAAUUAUUAGGGUCUCAACACAGCUGAUUUCGAUGCUUCCCUAACCCUCUGUUCGACCAUUUGACUACCACAUUCCACCAUUGAAACCGAUGGAAGAUAGCUCGCCAUGAAGUCGUUUCAUUUUCCUACUUUAAACCCCGCCCCAAAAGGUAAGAUUUUUAGCCCGAAAACCUCUCUUAAGCUUCGAUCUCAACGAAGAAGAGAUGGUCUCCAAUGGCUCAUAUGCGCAGGUAGAUCCUUUCCUCUUUACUUUAUUUGCUUUCAAAGUAAAAAAAAAACAAGAGAAUAAUCACAAAGAAAGAAAGCCCAGAGAUUUAGAUCAGAAAAUCACCUUCCGAUAUUGGUUGCUUUUUUGUAUUGCUCGUAUAUCUUGCGUAAAAAUGUGUAGGAGUUCGUAACCCUUACAAGGAUCAAAAGCUUGGCUUUUUAUAGCCAAAGAAAAGAAAAAUAAGAAAAAUAAAUGAAAAACUCCCUUUUUCAAUUGCUUUUCUGCUAUUUUUGUUUGUGUUUGCUGCCGUGUGGUUUGUCCUUUUUGCAGGUAGAGUACGGACGUGCGUUGGCCCUUGGCGUGAGGCGCACGGGGCUGUGUUGGCGUGGUUGCUGGAGACUAGGGCGUACGAAGGUGAUGUGGUUGCUGCUCGUGAAGGUUGCGGCGCGAGGACCCUUCUGCCCUAGGGUUUGCCGAAGUUUGGCUUGGCUUUCGGGCCGUUUGGGUCUUUUGUGUUUGUUUGGGCCGGGCAAAUUUGGCCCACUACAUAUAUGUUUUAUUAUCAUUGAAAUGCUCUGAAUUUUGAACGAUAAAAUACGAGCACGGAUCGAAAAAGUUACAAAUGUCAUGACAUUAGGUUGUCGAGAUGUGAUUACAUGUAAGACCAUGUAUUGGACAUUGGCAUCGUUAAUCGAUUUCGUGUAAGACCCUAUCUGGGAUAGUGGCAUCGAUAUGUGAUAACAUGUAAGACCAUAUCUGGGAUAUGGCAUUGUACGAGCUCAUGUGAUUUCCGAGUAUCCUUAAUGAUUCCGAACGGUUCAAUGGGCAAAGGCAAGUUGAGAAAGAAAUGUGUUAAUGAGAUUAAACAACUCAGGUACGAACGAGAUUUACAUAAGUAUUGAAAGGGAAAGUAUUUGAUGAAUCCAAUCAAGAUAUUGAAUAUAUGUUCAAUGAGAAAGAUUUGUGAAAUUGAAUGUGAACAGCUAUGUUUAGCAUAUUUGAUUUGUUAUGCAAAUAUUUAUGUGAUGAAUUUAUUUCUAUAUAGCUUACUAAGCUUUUAAAGCUUACUUUGUGUGUUCAUUCCAUGUUUUAUAGAUCGUCGAAGCUAGCUCGGACUUGGGGAUCGUCAGGAAACGUCAUCACACUAUCGAUCAUCUCGUUGGUACUUUUGAAGUUUUGUAUAUAUGGUAUAUGACAUGUAUAGGCUAGUGUCAUUUUGAUAUGUUUUAAUCUAUGAUAUUAGUCAUGUGUUUUAGCUUGUUAAUGAUGUAAAUAUUGAUAUGUUUUUAGCCAUUUAAGUUGGCUUGAAUCAUGUACUUAAUGAGUAAUAUAUGAUGUAUAAGUUGCCUCAUGUUUUGGAAUGGUUAUAUGGUUGCUCAAGUAGU